AGAGUUUGAUUCUGGCUCAGAUUGAACGCUGGCGGCGUGCUUAACACAUGCAAGUCGAACGUGAAAGUCCUUCGGGGCGAGUAAAGUGGCGCACGGGUGAGUAACGCGUGGAUAAUCUACCCUUAAGAUGGGGAUAACGGCUGGAAACGGUCGCUAAUACCGAAUACGCUCCCGAUUUUAUUAUUGGGGGGAAAGAUGGCCUCUGCUUGCAAGCUAUCGCUUAAGGAUGAGUCCGCGUCCCAUUAGCUAGUUGGCGGGGUAACGGCCCACCAAGGCAACGAUGGGUAGCCGGUCUGAGAGGAUGACCGGCCACACUGGAACUGGAACACGGUCCAGACUCCUACGGGAGGCAGCAGUGGGGAAUAUUGCGCAAUGGGCGAAAGCCUGACGCAGCGACGCCGCGUGAGGGAUGAAGGUUCUCGGAUCGUAAACCUCUGUCAGGGGGGAAGAAACCCCCUCGUGUGAAUAAUGCGAGGGCUUGACGGUACCCCCAAAGGAAGCACCGGCUAACUCCGUGCCAGCAGCCGCGGUAAUACGGAGGGUGCAAGCGUUAAUCGGAAUCACUGGGCGUAAAGCGCACGUAGGCGGCUUGGUAAGUCAGGGGUGAAAUCCCACAGCCCAACUGUGGAACUGCCUUUGAUACUGUCAGGCUUGAGUACCGGAGAGGGUGGCGGAAUUCCAGGUGUAGGAGUGAAAUCCGUAGAUAUCUGGAGGAACACCGGUGGCGAAGGCGGCCACCUGGACGGUAACUGACGCUGAGGUGCGAAAGCGUGGGUAGCAAACAGGAUUAGAUACCCUGGUAGUCCACGCUGUAAACGAUGGGUGCUGGGUGCUGGGAUGUAUGUCUCGGUGCCGUAGCUAACGCGAUAAGCACCCCGCCUGGGGAGUACGGUCGCAAGGCUGAAACUCAAAGAAAUUGACGGGAGAUCGGAAGAGCGUCGUGUAGGGAAAGAGUGUAGAUCUCGGUGGUCGCCGUAUCAUUAAA
rnacentral:rRNA from 1 species